rnacentral:rRNA from 1 species
UACGAGGGGGGCGAGCGUUGUUCGGAAUUAUUGGGCGUAAAGGGUGCGUAGGCGGUUUGGUAAGUCUGAUGUGAAAUCUAUGGGCUCAACUCAUAGUCUGCAUCGGAAACUGCCGGGCUUGAGUGUGGGAGAGGUGAGUGGAAUUCCUGGUGUAGCGGUGAAAUGCUUAGAUAUGACAUAGAACACCAAUUGCGAAGGCAGCUAACUACACACAUAUUGACGCUGAGGCACGAAAGCGUGGGGAUCAAACAGG